CGGCGCUAAGAAAAUGCCGAUGACACUUCAUUAAUGCGGAUAAAAAGGAAGUGAAAUAAUGCGAAAAAUACUUGACUCACUAUUCGCUACUUAAAAGGAUUUUCAAAACAAAAAAUUUUCUUUGCGGGAGGGUGUUGUAAAAUCCCUAAUAAAACAGUAACCCUCGCCAUAAAGUUGGAUACAAUACAAUCUUGUGUUAUUUAGUUGUAUUAAUAACUAGUAUUAUUUUGUUUGUAAUCUUUAAUGAUUCAAUCUUUUUUUAUUACAAAGGCCCAAUUUGAUGCCAGCUGAUGCCCGCACGAGUGCAGAGGGCGGGGAAACUGGGGAUGAGGCAGCUCCGCGCCCUGAGGCCCCCGAGAAGCUCCAACCGACCGGGAUUUGUCAUGCAACUCGAGUGAAGACUGGAUACCGCAAAUGCUCGCUUGUGCAUAGCUUUCUGCUGACCUAGCGCAAGGCUUUUUAGUAUCCCGCAAAUUACACAUGUUUUAACAAUACAUUUUGCACGGCCAAUGCAGUUCAAAAUAAUGCUUACUGGACCUUUUUUGUGUUAGGAGCAAUAAAGCAUGAUCAUCAUACUU